rnacentral:misc_RNA from 1 species
GAUGAAGAACGUAGCGAAAUGCGAUAAGUAAUGCGAAUUGCAGAAUUCAGUGAGUCAUCGAAUCUUUGAACGCACAUUGCGCCAUGUGGUAUUCCGCAGGGCAUGCCUGUUCGAGCGUCAUUUCAACCCUCAAGCUCUGCUUGGUGUUGGGCCACGCCCCCGCGGCCGGCCCCAAAGCUAGUGGCGGUGCCCUCUGGCUCUAAGCGUAGUACAUCUCUCGCUCUAGGGCCCGGCGGUUGCUUGCCAGAACCCACACUCUUAUGGUUGACCUCGGAUCAGGUAGGGAUACCCGCUGAACUUAAGCAUAUCAAUAAGCGGAGGA